UACGUAGGGGGCUAGCGUUGUCCGGAAUCAUUGGGCGUAAAGAGCGUGUAGGCGGCCCGGUAAGUCCGCUGUAAAAGUCAAAGGCUCAACCUUUGAAUGUCAGUGGAUACUGCCGGGCUAGAGUCCGGAAGAGGCGAGUGGAACUCCUGGUGUAGCGGUGGAAUGCGCAGAUAUCAGGAGGAACACCGGUGGCGAAGGCGGGUCUCUGGGCCGAUACUGACGCUGAGGAGCGAAAGCGUGGGGAGCGGACAGG
rnacentral:rRNA from 1 species